AACGCGAAGAACCUUACCUGGGCUCGAACGGCUCACGAACGUCCUUGGAAACAGGGAUUUCCCGCAAGGGACGGGAGUCGAGGUGCUGCAUGGCUGUCGUCAGCUCGUGUCGUGAGAUGUUGGGUUAAGUCCCGCAACGAGCGCAACCCUUGUCCUGUGUUACCAUGCCGAAAGGCGGCACUCGCAGGAGACCGCCAGCGAUAAGCUGGAGGAAGGUGGGGAUGACGUCAAGUCCUCAUGGCCUUUAUGUCCAGGGCUACACACGUGCUACAAUGGGCGGUACAAAGCGCUGCUAAGCCGCAAGGUGGAGCCAAUCGCAAAAAGCCGCUCUCAGUUCGGAUUGCAGGCUGCAACUCGCCUGCAUGAAGCUGGAAUCGCUAGUAAUGCUAUAUCAGAACGAUAGCGUGAAUACGUUCCCGGGCCUUGUA
rnacentral:rRNA from 1 species